rnacentral:misc_RNA from 1 species
GAUGAAGAACGUAGCGAAAUGCGAUAAGUAAUGUGAAUUGCAGAAUUCAGUGAAUCAUCGAAUCUUUGAACGCACAUUGCGCCCGCCAGUAUUCUGGCGGGCACGCCUGUUCGAGCGUCAUUUCAACCCUCAAGCCCAGCUUGGUGUUGGGGAUCGGCACAGGCGCCCUCGGGCGCCCGCCGUCCCCUAAAUCUAGUGGCGGUCCCGCUGCAGCCUCCUCUGCGUAGUAGUUUUCUCCUCGCAAGGGCAGCUCGGUGGCGACCUCGCCGUAAAACCCCCAACUUCUGAAAGGUUGACCUCGAAUCAGGUAGGAAUACCCGCUGAACUUAAGCAUAUCAAUAAGCGGAGGA